UAGAGUUUUCUAAACUCCCAACCCAUGUGAACUUACCAUUGUUGCCUCGGCAGAAGCUGCUCGGUGCACCUUACCUUGGAACGGCCUACCCUGUAGCGCCUUACCCUGGAACGGCUUACCCUGCAACGGCUGCCGGUGGACUACCAAACUCUUGUUAUUUUAUGGUUAUCUGAGCGUCUUAUUUUAAUAAGUCA
rnacentral:misc_RNA from 1 species